UACGGGGGGGGCAAGCGUUGUUCGGAAUUACUGGGCGUAAAGGGCUCGUAAGUGGCCAACUAAGUCGGACGUGAAAUCCCUCAGCUUAACUGGGGAACUGCGUCCGAUACUGGAUGGCUCGAGUUUGGGAGAGGGAUGCGGAAUUCCAGGUGUAGCGGUGAAAUGCGUAGAUAUCUGGAGGAACACCGGUGGCGAAGGCGGCAUCCUGGACCAACACUGACACUGAGGAGCGAAAGCCAGGGGAGCAAACGGG
rnacentral:rRNA from 1 species